AAGCUUACUCGACGGUUGGCAACGCCAAAGCCUUUGGUUGUGCAGUUUGGCACGUUUUGGUUCUGCGAAAUGGCCUAUUGAAUUGAAUGUACCUAAAUUCAAAUUCCAAGGAUGUAAAAAUACUAAUGAUUCAUGAUAAACUCGAAAUGGUAAAGUCAUUUCAAUUAUGAAAACGAAUUUUUAAUAGUAUCUAUGUAAACGCCCUAACAACACACAACAUUCCAGGAAUGUACUACCAAAGUUCUAUCAAUAUUUGAAUGUCCUGGACAUUUAGGGAACAUUCGGUGAACAUCUGAUUAAAUUAUUCGUGGAAUGUUACCAUAAGACAUUCUGUGAACAUACUACCAAUGUUCCUGUUCAUUUUCAAAUUCACGGCGCAUGUAUUUGUGCAUGGUGCUUAGAGAGGGCAUCACGUGACUAAAAACGACCAAUGACCUCACUUCAGACUUCGGUUCGGCCAUCUUGACAUGCAUCUUGCCUUGGCCACCUUGCCGUGCGUGAUCGUUGUUUGUUUUUAUUUGUGCUUUUUAAGAAUAUUUUUUAAUUCGGAUACUUUUAUAAUAACUUUAAUAGUAUUAUUAAUAUAGUGCAUAAAAUCAGUUGGAGUAGCAGAAGCAAUGUAGAUAAAAAAUCUGCAGGAAUAAUGUUUCAAAGCUUUCCAGAAGAUCCUGCGAAGAAUGCAUGAAGUAUUGAUCAGAUUUGUUAAUAGAGCAGUAUGUUCAAAACAUUUUUUAGAAAAAGAUAUUGACAGAACUUCACUUUCAACCGUUUGAGAGACUGUGCUGUUCCAAUAGCUUAUAUCACACAGAAUCAGCUGAGAGAAGUGGUCUACAAAAAACCAGGAAGGAAAUGGAAUAUGUGGCUAUGAAAGGCAAAAGAAAGGUUUACAAAGCAAAUGUGACACAUUUUUUUAUAGGAAUAUCAGUAAAUUACAUUAAAAAAAUGUAUGAAAAGAUUUUUUGCAAUAAAAAUGUUUAUAUUUA